rnacentral:lncRNA from 1 species
UUAUAACUCGCAGUCAUGGAUGUUCCCCCAAAAAGCAGAGCCUUAGGCAAAAGCCUGUAUUUUGCCACUCUAUUGAGGAAUGCAAUUCCUAGAAUUCAAAAGCGAGAGGAAAGGAGAAUGAGUCAAGAAGAAAAUCUAUUGCAGAGAGAGAUACUGUCUGCACUGUGAAAGAGGGGUGAAGUGAUUGAUUACUCAACUUUGCUACAGACUCCAGGACCAGUUCUGCCUCAGUGAACCCUGGCA